rnacentral:rRNA from 1 species
GUAGUCUCGCACAGAUGCAUAUCAAUAAGCGGAGGAAAAGAAACUAACAAGGAUUCCCUCAGUAACGGCGAGUGAAGCGGGAAGAGCUCAAAUUUGAAAUCUUGAAAGGUCACCUUUCACGAAUUGUAGUUUAAAGAAGUGUUUUCUGUUACGAUCGUAAUAUAAGUUCUUUGGAAUAGGACAUCACAGAGGGUGAGAAUCCCGUCUAUGAUUGCGAUUUGUAGCUUUGUGUUACACUCUCAAAGAGUCGGGUUGUUUGGGAAUGCAGCCCAAAACGGGAGGUAAAUUUCUUCUAAGGCUAAAUAUUGGCGAGAGACCGAUAGCGAACAAGUACCGUGAGGGAAAGAUGAAAAGAACUUUGAAAAGAGAGUUAAAUAGUACGUGAAAUUGUCAAAAGGGAAGCGUUUAACACCAGUGUUGUUUUCUGAAAAUCAACCUCUGUUAGCUUUAUGCAUGUUUGUUUAGACCUAAUCAGCUAUCUUGCAUGUUCUAUUGUUUGCAGUGGUGCACUUUUCAGUUUACAGGUCAACAUCAGUUUUUUUUACCGUAAAAAAGUUAAAGAAAGGUAGCUCAUGGCUCCGGUCGUGAGUGUUAUAGUCUUUUUCCUAUGCGGUAGGAGAGACUGAGGUCUGCAGUGUAGGCUAUUUGGCUAGAUACUCAGGUGCUAUGUGAUACCAUUUCAUAAACAACUUGUUGAUUAUGUUUUGUCUAUUGCAUACUCGCUUGUACUAUCAUACCUACGCUUAGGAUGUUGAGUCGUAGAGCACGCAG